AGAACGAACGUUAGCGGUGUGGAUUAGGCAUGCAAGUCGAGCGCGAAAGCCCGCAAGGGUGAGUAAAGCGGCGAAAGGGUGAGUAAUACGUAACCAACUUACCCCUGAGACCGGAAUAACCGACGGAAACGUUGGCUAAUGCCGGAUGGCCCUUCCGGGAGGCAUCUCCUGGCUGGUAAACGGUGGCGCAAGCUGCUGCUCGGGGGAGGGGGUUAUGGGAUAUCAGCUAGUUGGUGGGGUAAUGGCCUACCAAGGCGAUGACGUCUAGCCGGUCUGAGAGGAUGGUCGGCCACAGUUGGGACUGAGACACUGACCCAAACUCCGUACGGGAGGCUGCAGUCGAGGUAUCGUUCCGCAAGUGGGACGAAAGCCUGACGGAGCGACACCGCGUAC
rnacentral:rRNA from 1 species